rnacentral:lncRNA from 1 species
GGGGUGAUCGUAUCCGAACCAAUCCAAAAGUAAAACCGCAAAUCGAACCAAACCAAACCGAAAACCGCAAAAACCGCAUUUGGUUUGGAUGUGUUUGGAUGGCUUUCUUACUGAACCGCAAACCGCAAAACCGCAAACCGCAAAAACCGCGGAUAACCGCAAAAACCGCAUUAAGUUACUAUUAUAUAUUUAUAUUCCAAUAUCGUAAAAGAAAAUAUAUUUA